rnacentral:rRNA from 1 species
UUUAUGGAGAGUUUGAUCCUGGCUCAGGAUGAACGCUGGCGGCGUGCCUAAUACAUGCAAGUCGAGCGAACAGAUAAGGAGCUUGCUCCUUUGACGUUAGCGGCGGACGGGUGAGUAACACGUGGGUAACCUACCUAUAAGACUGGGAUAACUUCGGGAAACCGGAGCUAAUACCGGAUAAUAUUUCGAACCGCAUGGUUCGAUAGUGAAAGAUGG